ACGGGGUGCAGCAGGCGCGAAAACUCCGCAAUUCGCGAAAGCGUGACGGGGGAACUCCAAGUGCUGCAGCGUUAGCUGUAGCUUUUGUUUAGCGUAAAUAACUAUUCGAAUAAGAGCUGGGUAAGACCGGUGCCAGCCGCCGCGGUAACACCGGCAGCUCGAGUGGUGACCAUUAUUAUUGGGCCUAAAGCGUCCGUAGCCGGUCUGAUAAGUCCUUGGGUAAAUCCUGACGCUUAACGUUAGGAAUUCUAGGGAUACUGUCAGACUUGAGGCCGAGAGAAGUCAGAGGUACUCUUGGGGUAGCGGUGAAAUGCUGUAAUCCUGAGGGGACCACCAGUGGCGAAGGCGUCUGACUAGAGCGGGCCUGACGGUGAGGGACGAAAGCCAGGGUCGCGAACGGGAUUAGAUACCCCGGUAGUCCUGGCCGUAAACGCUGCGCGCUAGGUGUUGCAUGCUCUACGGGGGCAUGCAGUGCCGAAGAGAAGUUGAUAAGCGUGCCGCCUGGGAAGUACCAUCGCAAGGUGGAAACUUAAAGGAAUUGGCGGGGGAGCACCACAAGGGGUGAAGCCUGCGGUUCAAUUGGACUCAACGCCGGAAAACUUACCAGGGGAGACAGCAGUAUGACGGUCAGGUUGACGACCUUACCUAACGAGCUGAGAGGAGGUGCAUGGCCGUCGCCAGUUCGUGCCGUGAGGUAUCCUGUUAAGUCAGGCAACGAACGAGAUCCGCACCUUUAUUUGCCACCAAGAAGUCACGACUUCGUUGG
rnacentral:rRNA from 1 species